UUCCGUAGGUGAACCUGCGGAAGGAUCAUUAAAAAAUGUGGUACCGAUUAUUGGUACUAAUUAAUCAUCCUACCCUUUGUGAUUUGUUUGUAACGAAUUUUUUAAAUGGGUCUUUCCCUAAGUUGGAUUGUAGUAAAAUACAAAAAGACUUAGGGGAAUGACUUUUUUAAAAGACUUUUUUUAAUUAAACUUUUGUAUUCAUUUGUCUAAAAUUUAUUUUAUAAUAUAAAAACAACUUUUGACAAUGGAUCUCUUGGUUCUCGCAACGAUGAAGAACGCAGCAAAAUGCGAUAAGUAGUGUGAAUUGCAGAAUACGUGAAUCAUCGAAUCUUCGAACGCAUAUUGCACUUUUUAGUUUACUAAAAAAGUAUGUCUGUUUGAGUAUCAGUAAAAUAUUCUCACAAACAUAUUUGUUUGUGGUUAUGAGUGUUUUACAACGAUAAACAAGUUGUUUCACUUUAAAUUCUUUUAAUUGAAUUUUACCAAUUCAUAAAUUAAAAUUGGAUAAAAUUUUCCUUUAACGAGGAAUAACCUAAACAAUUUUAAAUUUUAUGGAUUAAUAAACAUUCAUCAAAGGAAUCAUAUACAUAAAUAACUUGAUCUCAAAUCAGAUAAGAGUACCCGCUGAACUUAAGCAUAUCAAUAAGCGGAGGAAAAGAAACUAACAAGGAUUCCCUUAGUAACGGCGAGUGAAGCGGGAAGAGCUCAAAUUUGAAAUCUUCAAGGUUUGACCUUGACGAAUUGUAGUUUAUAGAAGUGUUUUCUGUUGGAGUUUUGGUAAAAGUUCUUUGGAAUAGGACAUCAUAGAGGGUGAGAAUCCCGUAUUUGACCAUGACUUUCCAGCUGUGUGAUACACUUUCAAGAGUCGGAUUGUUUGGGAAUGCAGUCCAAAAUGGGUGGUAAAUUUCAUCUAAAGCUAAAUAUUGGCGAGAGACGAUAGCGAACAAGUACCGUGAGGGAAAGAUGAAAAGAACUUUGAAAAGAGAGUUAAACAGUACGUGAAAUUGUCAAAGGGAGCGUUUGACACCAGUGUUGUUUCUCGAAAAUCAAUUUAAUGAGUUCUUGUUUUUAAGUUAUUGUGACUUUAUCAGCGCAUUUCUUAUUUUACUUGACUCAUUGAAUGCACUUUUCGUUUAACAAGUCAACAUCAAUUUCUUUGGUGGUAAAAAGUUUAAAGGAAGGUGGCUUGGACUUCGUUCAAGUGUUUAUAGCCUUUUUUCUAUGCCAUCGGAGAGAUUGAGGUCUGCAGCGUAGAUCCUUCGGGUUAGAUACCUUUGUGCUAAGUUAUAGUUUUUAUAGACAACUUGUUGACUAUAAUUAACCUGUAAUUUACUCGCUUAGGCUAUUU
rnacentral:misc_RNA from 1 species